rnacentral:rRNA from 1 species
AGCGGAGGAAAAGAAACUAACGAGGAUUCCCUUAGUAACUGCGAGUGAACGGGGAAAAGCCCAUCGCUGAAUCCUUCAGCCACUGGCUGCUAGGAAUUGUAGCGUAUAGGUGCGGCUGUCCGUUCGUUCGGCACCCAAAUGCCCUA